rnacentral:rRNA from 1 species
AUUGAACGCUGGCGGCAGGCCUAACACAUGCAAGUCGAACGAGUGGCGGACGGGUGAGUAAUGUCUGGGAAACUGCCUGAUGGAGGGGGAUAACUUCUGGAAACGGUAGCUAAUACCGCAUACCACCAUAUGUGCCCUGAUGGGAGUAGCGUGCUGCUGGGGUAACGGCUCACCAAGGCGACGAGCCCUAGCUGGUCUGAGAGGAUGACCAGCCACACUGGGACUGAGCCACGGUCCAGAAGCCUACGGGAGGCAGCAGUGGGGAAUAUUGCACAAUGGGCGCAAGCCUGAUUCAGCCAUGCCGCGUGUAUGAAGAAGGCCUUCGGGUUGUAAAGUACUUUCAGCUGGGAGGCGUUACCCGCAGAAGAAGCACCGGCUAACUCCGAGCCAGCAGCCGCGGUAAUAC